ACUGCCCCUAGAGGCUUUGCAGGAGUGGCUUCUGUGUCACCUGUGCAUCAGGAGGUGGCAGAGAGGAGAGAGGCUGUGUCUAAGCUCAGUGUUCUGACACCUGUGCAUGUCUGAAUGGUUAGUAGCCCAACACU